AGUGAACGCUGGCGGUAGGCCUAACACAUGCAAGUCGAACGGCAGCACAGUAAGAGCUCGCCCUUACGGGUGGCGAGUGGCGGACGGGUGAGGAAUACAUCGGCAUCUACUUUUUCGGGGGGGAUAACGUAGGGAAACUUACGCUACUACCGCAUAUGACCUACGGGUGAAAGCAGGGGAUCUUCGCACUUUGCGCGAUUGAAUGAGCCGAUGCCGGAUUAGCUAGUUGGCUGGGUAAAGGCCCACCAAGGCGACGAUCCGUAGCUGGUCUGAGAGGAUGAUCAGCCACACUGGAACUGAGACACGGUCCAGACUCCUACGGGAGGCAGCAGUGGGGAAUAUUGGACAAUGGGCGCAAGCCUGAUCCAGCCAUACCGCGUGGGUGAAGAAGGCCUUCGGGUUGUAAAGCCCUUUUGUUGGGAAAGAAAAGCAGCAGGUUAAUACCCCGCUGUUCUGACGGUACCCAAAGAAUAAGCACCGGCUAACUUCGUG
rnacentral:rRNA from 1 species